rnacentral:rRNA from 1 species
AACGAACGCUGGCGGCAUGCCUAACACAUGCAAGUCGAACGAGACCUUCGGGUCUAGUGGCGCACGGGUGCGUAACGCGUGGGAACCUGCCCUUAGGUUCGGAAUAACUCCCCGAAAGGGGUGCUAAUACCGGAUAAUGUCUUCGGACCAAAGAUUUAUCGCCUUUGGAUGGGCCCGCGUUGGAUUAGCUAGUUGGUAGGGUAAAAGCCUACCAAGGCGACGAUCCAUAGCUGGUCUGAGAGGAUGAUCAGCCACACUGGGACUGAGACACGGCCCAGACUCCUACGGGAGGGAGGAGUGGGGAAUAUUGGACAAUGGGCGAAAGCCUGAUCCAGCAAUGCCGCGUGAGUGAUGAAGGCCUUAGGGUUGUAAAGCUCUUUUACCCGGGAUGAUAAUGACGGUACCGGGAGAAUAAGCACCGGCUAACUACGUG